UACCAUGCAGUCGAACGAUGAUCUCCAGCUUGCUGGGGGGAUUAGUGGCGAACGGGUGAGUAACACGUGAGUAACCUGCCCUUGACUCUGGGAUAAGCCUGGGAAACUGGGUCUAAUACUGGAUACGACCUUCCCACGCAUGUGGUGUUGGUGGAAAGCUUUUGUGGUUUUGGAUGGACUCGCGGCCUAUCAGCUUGUUGGUGGGGUAAUGGCCCACCAAGGCGACGACGGGUAGCCGGCCUGAGAGGGUGGACGGCCACACUGGGACUGAGACACGGCCCAGACUCCUACGGGAGGCAGCAGUGGGGAAUAUUGCACAAUGGGCGCAAGCCUGAUGCAGCGACGCCGCGUGAGGGAUGAAGGCCUUCGGGUUGUAAACCUCUUUCAGUAGGGAAGAAGCGAAAGUGACGGUACCUGCAGAAGAAGCGCCGGCUAACUACGUGCCAGCAGCCGCGGUAAUACGUAGGGCGCAAGCGUUAUCCGGAAUUAUUGGGCGUAAAGAGCUCGUAGGCGGUUUGUCGCGUCUGCCGUGAAAGUCCGGGGCUUAACUCCGGAUCUGCGGUGGGUACGGGCAGACUUGAGUGAUGUAGGGGAGACUGGAAUUCCUGGUGUAGCGGUGAAAUGCGCAGAUAUCAGGAGGAACACCGAUGGCGAAGGCAGGUCUCUGGGCAUUAACUGACGCUGAGGAGCGAAAGCAUGGGGAGCGAACAGGAUUAGAUACCCUGGUAGUCCAUGCCGUAAACGUUGGGCACUAGGUGUGGGGGACAUUCCACGUUUUCCGCGCCGUAGCUAACGCAUUAAGUGCCC
rnacentral:rRNA from 1 species